AGUCCCUUAAAAAAACUUUGGGCCUUGUGCUCUUUUACAAAUCACAACCGUUAAUCAAUAAAGCUAAUUUCUUUAUAAAUGAUACUCCUUACCAAAAUAAAUGGAACUCCUACUAAAACCUAACUCCUCCAAACGUUUGACAGUCGCCAUCAACUCCUCACCAUUAAACUAUCAACUUCCUUUCAUUUCACAAACCCACAAAAUUUAAGAGGUGUUCUAAAAUGGGUGGUCUAACAUUCGCUCUUCUAAAAUUUUACCCUUGACUUUAUAUGUUUUUGUUCAUGAUUUUCUUUGACGAAGAUUGCCAUGAUAUUUUGAAGUCUAGAGUUCAUAAGCGACAAGUAUUUGAAUUGGCCGGAAGGAGUAACGAAGAUUUAUUUUCUUGUAUCAUCUUGAAUUAUUUGUGAAAUUAUUUGUAGUAUAUGACCCCAAAAACCUUCUAGAUUCGCUCAAUCUAUCAAUCGAUUUUGUACACUAGCAAUGUAUGACAUAGGUUAAUGACGUCACAUAAGUGUAAUGGUUACUUAAAUAAACAAAUUAAUAAAAUUACCUAUUAGAAGAGCAAUUUAAAUA